CUCCGGAGCCACGUGGACCGCAGCCGGCUAGCGGAGGCCAGGCUGGGGAGACGCCGGAGGCGGCGCGGGGACCGGAUCGCCGCCCGGAGAGGGCUCUGCGGGGACAGCUUCGCGACGCUCCGCGCCGAGGCCUCCGCCCACAGGCUGGCGAGACCAGGGAAGAACCUCCGGGGAACCCGUGCGGUCAGCCCCCGGGAGGAAGUGGAAGUGGAGGUGCCCCGAAGAGCCCGAGAUGGGCUCGCACCGUAGCAAGAAGGGGCCGAUCCCCUGCUGGCGACCGGGCAAAGCCACCGACUUCCUCUAAGGGCGCGGGACUAGAGCAGUCUCUGAGUCCAGCAAUGUUGGGAAAGAAGGUCCAAAAAGGACCACAGUCAAGUCCAGAAAAUCCUCAAAGAAGAGACGACAGGAAGGACUCAGCCAGCGCUGGAUCCUGAAAUCGCCUAGAGAAUGGAAGCCAUUCCAGAGGGUGCACCAUGUUUUGAGCCCAGCAUUGAUACCCUUAUUGUGAACUGACAACACAGCCUGCUCACAGGCCAUUGCAGACGAAACCAGAGAGAUGAAGAAAAUGAAGCCCAGAAUGCUGAACUAACUUCUCUAAGGACACACAGCUAGCAGAAGACAGAAAUUGGAUUUGACUGAGAUUUGUCUGACUCCUGGUCCCCAGUCAUACCAGGAUGGACAUUUGGAUGUUCCCUUCAACUUUGGGGGCCACCUGAAUUCCCCCACCUGCCCUUAUGAUCUUAGCUCUGGACCUCCCUUUUCUGCACAACACUCUCUAUGAAGGCGAGUGAGUAACUGGAAUGUGGUUUUCUAUUUGUUCUUAUUCUGAUUCAAAGACCAGUCGACUGAGGCUCAGAGAGAUGAGGUGACUUCCCUGGGUUCUGGAAGCUAACAGGUGGUCAAGCAGACCCCUGGCCUGAUAAAGUGCCUGCCACCCCACCUCACUACCUCUGUGGUCUCCAAGACAGUGCUGAGAAAAGGAGAAGACACAUUUCUGUUUUGUUUUCUUGGCAUGAAAUCACGUUUGCUUUGUGCCAUAAGGUGAAAACUGUUUCUAAAUGGUGUGUCGGUGAGCAUGUGCACACGCGUAUGCACACAAAUCCUCAUGCAGGCUCACAGGAAGGGGUUUCACAAUGCCCCUGUCUUGAGGGUGAAUAGUCUAAGUAUUGAAGAAUAAAAGUUUUCAUUGCUCAGAGUGCUGCCUGGGAUUCCUGGAAUAUGAGGAAAUGUGUUUACAGUUUAGUCCUAGGUCAUGGAUAUGACCCAGAAAUAAGGGCAAGCAGGGCAAGCAGAGGCACCUGGCUUGUGAUGGGUCACAUCUAUCCAUCAAACAUUUACUGAGCACCUAAUCUUCACCAGGCAUUGAGCAGGGUGCAGGGAUAUGAAGGCGAGCAAGACGUAGUCUUGGUCUUCACGGAGAUUUGGAGAAACAAACAUCAGUACUCGUGCUGACCACUCUGUGUGAGGAGUGCUUUGAUUGUACAUGCAAGGUGGGGACUCCACAAGGACAGGGUCUAGCCUUUCCCAUCC